UACAGAGGGGGCAAGCGUUGUUCGGAAUUACUGGGCGUAAAGGGCGCGUAGGCGGCCUUCUAAGUCGAACGUGAAAUCCCCGGGCUCAACCCGGGAACUGCGUCCGACACUGGAAGGCUUGAAUCCGGGAGAGGGAUGCGGAAUUCCAGGUGUAGCGGUGAAAUGCGUAGAUAUCUGGAGGAACACCGGUGGCGAAGGCGGCAUCCUGGACCGGCAUUGACGCUGAGGCGCGAAAGCCAGGGGAGCAAACGGG
rnacentral:rRNA from 1 species